rnacentral:rRNA from 1 species
UACGAAGGGUGCAAGCGUUAAUCGGAAUUACUGGGCGUAAAGCGCGCGUAGGUGGUUCAGUAAGUUGGAAGUGAAAUCCCCGGGCUCAACCUGGGAACUGCUUUCAAAACUGCUGAGCUAGAGUACGGUAGAGGGUGGUGGAAUUUCCUGUGUAGCGGUGAAAUGCGUAGAUAUAGGAAGGAACACCAGUGGCGAAGGCGACCACCUGGACUGAUACUGACACUGAGGUGCGAAAGCGUGGGGAGCAAACAGGAUUAGAAA